rnacentral:rRNA from 1 species
GGGCCCGCACAAGCGGUGGAGCAUGUGGUUUAAUUCGAUGAUACGCGAGGAACCUUACCAGGGCUUAAAUGUAGUCUGACAGGGGUGGAAACACCCCCUCCUUCGGGCAGAUUACAAGGUGCUGCAUGGUUGUCGUCAGCUCGUGCCGUGAGGUGUCAGGUUAAGUCCUAUAACGAGCGCAACCCCUGCCGUUAGUUGCCAGCAUGUAAUGAUGGGAACUCUAACGGGACUGCCGGUGCAAACCGCGAGGAAGGUGGGGAUGACGUCAAAUCAUCACGGCCCUUACGUCCUGGGCUACACACGUGCUACAAUGGCCGGUACAGAGGGCAGCCACACCGCAAGGUGGAGCGAAUCCUUAAAACCGGUCUCAGUUCGGAUCGGGGUCUGCAACUCGGCCCCGUGAAGCUGGAAUCGCUAGUAAUCG